AGCGGAGCGUGUGGUUUAAUUCGAUGGUAAGCGAAGAACCUUACCUAGGCUUGACAUGUUUGGUGGUACCGAACCGAAAGGGGAGGGACCCUUCGGGGAGCCUUACACAGGUGUUGCAUGGCCGUCGUCAGCUCGUGCCGUGAGGUGUUGGGUUAAGUCCCGCAACGAGCGCAACCCCUAUCGCCAGUUACACUCUCUGGCGAGACAGUCCUUAAACGGAAGGAAGGUGGGGACGACGUCAGGUCAUCAUGACCCUACGCCUAGG
rnacentral:rRNA from 1 species